rnacentral:rRNA from 1 species
GACAAACGCUGGCGGCGUGCCUAAAACAUGCAAGUCGAACGGACUCUUCGGAGUCAGUGGCGGACGGCUGAGUAACACGUAGGUGACCUGCCCUUGAGUGGGGAAUAACGGUCCGAAAGGAUCGCUAAUACCGCAUACGACCGCUGCAUUUUGGUGUGGUGAGGAAAGCCGAAAGGCGCUCGAGGAGGGGCCUGCGUCCGAUUAGCUAGUUGGUGGGGUAAAGGCCUACCAAGGCGACGANCGGUAGCUGGUCUAAGAGGAUGAUCAGCCAGACUGGGACUGUGACACGGCCCAGACUCCUACGGGAGGCAGCAGUUAGGAAUCUUGGGCAAUGGGCGAAAGCCUGACCCAGCAACGCCGCGUGGGUGACG